rnacentral:rRNA from 1 species
GCUCCCUACGGGAGGCAGCAGUGAGGGAUAUUGGUCAAUGGGGGAAACCCUGAACCAGCAACGCCGCGUGAGGGAAGACGGUUUUCGGAUUGUAAACCUCUGUCCUCUGUGAAGAUAAUGACGGUAGCAGAGGAGGAAGCUCCGGCUAACUACGUGCCAGCAGCCGCGGUAAUACGUAGGGAGCAAGCGUUGUCCGGAUUUACUGGGCGUAAAGCGCUCGUAGGCGGUAUGUCAAGUCAAGGGUGAAAUCCCCGCGCUCAACGUGGGAACUGCCUUUGAAACUGGCAAACUGGAGUGUGUGAGAG